UCAAAUUUGAAAGCUGGCUCCUUCGGAGUCCGCAUUGUAAUUUGCAGAGGAUGCUUUGGGUGCGGCCCCCGUCUAAGUGCCCUGGAACGGGCCGUCAGAGAGGGUGAGAAUCCCGUCUUGGGCGGGGUGUCCGUGCCCGUGUAAAGCUCCUUCGACGAGUCGAGUUGUUUGGGAAUGCAGCUCUAAAUGGGUGGUAAAUUUCAUCUAAAGCUAAAUACUGGCCGGAGACCGAUAGCGCACAAGUAGAGUGAUCGAAAGAUGAAAAGCACUUUGAAAAGAGAGUUAAACAGCACGUGAAAUUGUUGAAAGGGAAGCGCUUGCGACCAGACUCGCCCGCGGGGUUCAGCCGGCAUUCGUGCCGGUGUACUUCCCCGUGGGCGGGCCAGCGUCGGUUUGGGCGGCCGGUCAAAGGCCCCUGGAAUGUAGUGCCCUCCGGGGCACCUUAUAGCCAGGGGUGCAAUGCGGCCAGCCUGGACCGAGGAACGCGCUUCGGCACGGACGCUGGCAUAAUGGUCGUAAACGACCCGUCUUGAAACAAGGAC
rnacentral:rRNA from 1 species